GACGAACGCUGGCGGCGUGCCUAAUACAUGCAAGUAGAACGCACAGGAUGCACCGUAGUUUACUACACCGUAUUCUGUGAGUUGCGAACGGGUGAGUAACGCGUAGGUAACCUGCCUGGUAGCGGGGGAUAACUAUUGGAAACGAUAGCUAAUACCGCAUAAGAACAUUUACUGCAUGGUAGAUGUUUAAAAGGUGCAAAUGCAUCACUACCAGAUGGACCUGCGUUGUAUUAGCUAGUAGGUGAGGUAACGGCUCACCUAGGCGACGAUACAUAGCCGACCUGAGAGGGUGAUCGGCCACACUGGGACUGAGACACGGCCCAGACUCCUACGGGAGGCAGCAGUAGGGAAUCUUCGGCAAUGGGGGAAACCCUGACCGAGCAACGCCGCGUGAGUGAAGAAGGUUUUCGGAUCGUAAAGCUCUGUUGUUAAGGAAGAACGAGUGUGAGAAUGGAAAGUUCAUACUGUGACG
rnacentral:rRNA from 1 species